ensembl:lncRNA
AGAAUACUCACAAAAUGGUUACUCAACAGACAUCGUUGACCAAAACUUCACAAAAGCAGCGGUUGGCUGUCGACCUCUACUCACUUUAACAAGGAUAAUCAAGAUGAUUUGCUGCUGUCCCUUUUUAAAAAAGAUAUGUAAAAAUGUUGUGGGUGUGGAGGCAGAUGAGAGUCAGCAGACACUUGUCUCUCAGAUAAGUACAGCGUCCACAGUGUCGCUGCCACUCUUGCUGCCACCAGCAAGAAACAUGAAGAAACUGUCGUCACAUCACAAGAUGAAGUGGUGCUGGGGUCUAUGCAGGGGGCGGCACAGUGCCGUGGUGGUCAGCACUGUCGCCUCACAGCAAGAAGGUCCUGGGUUCGAUUCCGCCCAGUGGCCUUUCUGUGUGGAGUCUGCAUGUUCUCCCCGUGUCUGCGUGGGUUCUCUCCGGGUUCUCCGGCUUCCUCCCACAGUCCAAAGACAUGCUCUGGAGAUCAGGUUUUGGAGAUCAGGCUGCUCAGACACAAGAAGAUCAGGUGUCUUGGAUUUCCUAAUCCAGGACAUAUCUGUUACAUGAACUCCUGCCUGCAGAGCCUCCUGACGCUGAAGGACUUCGUCAGGGCCAUCAGACGCCAGGAGCAUCUCUGGACUUUGAUCCCAGAGGCUGCAGUAAUCAGAGCAUUUAUGGACAUCCAAAGGUCUCACCUCUCAGGUGAUGUCAGUCACAAAAUCGAUCUCCUAAUUGCAUUCAAGAGCACGAUUUGUUCUCAGAAGUUCCAGGAUUAUGACCAGAAGGAUUCGCACGAGUUUCUCACCUGCGUGCUGCAGCAGAUGAGAUGCUUAAGCCCAAAGCUUCAGAUGAUGGCUGCCAUCCAGGGCCGACCCUACAGCUGUCUUGUGGAGGAUCACAUUGUCUUUAAAAUGGCCAACACCCGGACCGGCAAGGAGUGCGAGACAGAAUCCACCUGAGAGGACCAGUUCACCAACCUCUCCCUGAACGUGGUCACUGGAGACGUAAGCGUGCAGCAGAUGCUCCAGGAUUACAUGAUGGAGAAAAACGUGGGCUACAACUGUGAAUGCGGAGCCAGCACCUCAGGGUGCUGUUCUUGCACCUAACGCGCUUUAGGUUUACUGCACCCUCCCAACUUGAAAAGGUACAUGAAUCAGUCGUUAUCCUCAGAGAGCUGGUGGUGAGAUCUAACCCGGAUUGCGGCCACUACAGUCUGGUCAGUACCAUCAACCACAUCGGCAUCACAGCAAGAUGCGGGCACUACAGCUGUGACGGGGUGGAUCCAGAUGUGGAAGAGGAGUACCAAGCUAACUGCUGGUUCUACUACAACGACGCAGAGGUCACUAAAACAAGCACACACUCUGUGUGCAACAAGCUGAAAAACUCCUGCUACAUACUUUCCUACAGAAGACAGGUCAGAGACAGACGCUGUAAACACAUCGGCAGGAGUGGGGGUGCGACAGGGUCAGUGUCCAGAGGACAGAACAUGGGACCGCGUCCAGUGGAUGGAUGAUGCGUGUGUUCCGAGCAUAAUAAAAU